rnacentral:rRNA from 1 species
UACGAAGGGGGCUAGCGUUGUUCGGAAUCACUGGGCGUAAAGCGCAUGCAGGCGGAUCGCUAAGUCGGGGGUGAAAGCCCGAGGCUCAACCUCGGAACUGCCUUCGAUACUGGCGACCUGGAGUCCGGGAGAGGUGAGUGGAACUCCGAGUGUAGAGGUGAAAUUCGUAGAUAUUCGGAAGAACACCAGUGGCGAAGGCGGCUCACUGGCCCGGUACUGACGCUGAGAUGCGAAAGCGUGGGGAGCAAACAGG